GCUGAUCGGCGUCAGGAACAUAAGCGACUCCAGAAGUGAGGGCAGACCAGCACUUAACCCAGUGCUCCCACCUUUCCAUGGACUUCGCCCAGAGCUCACUAUGGACUUCAGCAAGAUCAAAAAAAGUGCACCUAACCCAGCACUGACACUGUACAGUAUUUACCCCACUGAUUCUACCUCCCCUCUAUAUUCCUGAAUGAAACAUCUGUAAAGCUGAUAUUAUAGCAGGACAUUAGGUUUGAACAUGUAGUCUUUAAAGAUGCAGGUAAUUGUAAAGGUUGUAAUAUGAAAUAUUGCGCUAAUUCAAAAAUCACUGUAUAUGAAUUUUAUUUAUCAUUAAAUGAAAUAUAAAUAAAACCAGGAUUUAUUCAUAAACAAAA